CCUACGGGAGGCAGCAGUGGGGAAUAUUGCACAAUGGGGGAAACCCUGAUGCAGCGACGCCGCGUGAGUGAAGAAGUAUUUCGGUAUGUAAAGCUCUAUCAGCAGGGAAGAAGCAAGUCGGUACCUGACUAAGAAGCCCCGGCUAAAUACGUGCCAGCAGCCGCGGUAAAACGUAGGGGGCAAGCGUUAUCCGGAUUUACUGGGUGGAAAGGGAGCGUAGACGGUAUGGCAAGUCUGAAGUGAAAGCCCAGGGCUUAACCCUGGGACUGCUUUGGAAACUGUUAGACUAGAGUGCUGGAGAGGUAAGUGGAAUUCCUAGUGUAGCGGUGAAAUGCGUAGAUAUUAGGAGGAACACCAGUGGCGAAGGCGGCUUACUGGACAGUAACUGACGUUGAGGCUCGAAAGCGUGGGGAGCAAACAGGAUUAGAUACCCUUGUAGUC
rnacentral:rRNA from 1 species